rnacentral:rRNA from 1 species
GUACGGGAGGCAGCAGUAGGGAAUUUUCGGCAAUGGGCGCAAGCCUGACCGAGCAACGCCGCGUGAGUGAAGAAGGCCUUCGGGCUGUAAAGCUCUGUUGUAAGGGAAGAAUGGCCAAGAGAGGGAAUGCUCUUGGAGUGACGGUACCUUACCAGAAAGCCACGGCUAACUACGUGCCAGCAGCCGCGGUAAUACGUAGGUGGCAAGCGUUAUCCGGAAUUAUUGGGCGUAAAGGGAGCGUAGGCGGUUUGAUAAGUCUGAGGUGAGAGUUCGGGGCUCAACUCCGGAUUGCCUUAGAAACUGUCAGACUAGAGUGCAGGAGAGGGCAAUGGAAUUCCAUGUGUAGCGGUAAAAUGCGUAGAUAUAUGGAGGAACACCAGUGGCGAAGGCGGUUGCCUGGCCUGUAACUGACGCUGAGGCUCGAAAGCGUGGGGAGCAAAUAGGAUUAGAUACCCCGGU